AGUCGAGCGAAUGAUGAGGAGCUUGCUCCUCUGAUUUAGCGGCGGACGGGUGAGUAACACGUGGGUAAUCUGCCUGUAAGACGGGGAUAACUCCGGGAAACCGGGGCUAAUACCGGAUAAUAAGAAGAAACGCAUGUUUCUUCUUUGAAAGUCGGUUUCGGCUGACACUUACAGAUGAGCCCGCGGCGCAUUAGCUAGUUGGUGAGGUAACGGCUCACCAAGGCGACGAUGCGUAGCCGACCUGAGAGGGUGAUCGGCCACACUGGGACUGAGACACGGCCCAGACUCCUACGGGAGGCAGCAGUAGGGAAUCUUCGGCAAUGGGCGAAAGCCUGACCGAGCAACGCCGCGUGAGCGAUGAAGGCCUUCGGGUCGUAAAGCUCUGUUGUUAGAGAAGAACAAGUACGAGAGUAACUGCUCGUACCUUGACGGUACCUAACCAGAAAGCCACGGCUAACUACGUGCCAGCAGCCGCGGUAAUACGUAGUGGCAAGCGUUAUCCGGAAUUAUUGGGCGUAAAGCGCGCGCAGGCGGUCUCUU
rnacentral:rRNA from 1 species